AUUCCAUAUUCCUGCAAAAUUCCUAAGAUUUAUUGGAGACUAGGCCUCUUCUCUGGAUCCACAACCAUGUCCAGCCCAGAAUCAGGACCCCCAAACGUGUCUGGGACCCUGUCCCUUUCAUUCUGGUCUAGACAAGUCCCCACACGUGGCCAAAGGACAGCACCCAGACUCUGCCCCUGACCAGUCAAUGUGCAGCAAGCCCACUGCAGUAGGCAGAAGAGUCUACCCCUAGGGGAGAAGGCGGUAGUAUGUAUGAGGACACAGAUAGGAGAUACUCAACUUUGGAGAGGAAGAAAGCGCAGAAGCCAGCGAUCUGGAGCCCUACGCGCGGCACUCUAGUACACCCAGGUUCCAGGUCCCCAUUACUGGAUGUUAGAAGUUCAUUCCUAGACUUUCCGGAUCCCUGAGGCCACUGCACACACCUGUG
rnacentral:antisense_RNA from 1 species